rnacentral:rRNA from 1 species
GACGAACGCUGGCGGCGUGCUUAACACAUGCAAGUCGAACGGAAAGGCCCUGCUUUUGUGGGGUGCUCGAGUGGCGAACGGGUGAGUAACACGUGAGUAACCUGCCCUUGACUUUGGGAUAACUUCAGGAAACUGGGGCUAAUACCGGAUAGGAGCUCCUGCUGCAUGGUGGGGGUUGGAAAGUUUCGGCGGUUGGGGAUGGACUCGCGGGUUAUCAGCUUGUUGGUGGGGUAGUGGCUUACCAAGGCUUUGACGGGUAGCCGGCCUGAGAGGGUGACCGGCCACAUUGGGACUGAGAUACGGCCCAGACUCCUACGGGAGGCAGCAGGGGGGAGUAUUGCACAAUGGGCGGAAGCCUGAUGCAGAAACGCCGCGUGCGGGAUGCCGGCCUUCGGGUUGUAAACCGCUUUCGCCUGUGACGAAGAGUGAGUGACGGUAAUGGGUAAAGAAGCACCGGCUAACUACGUG